rnacentral:lncRNA from 1 species
GCAUGACAUCAGUGUCUGCUUCUGGUGAGUACCUCAGGAAGCUUCCAUUCAUGGCAGAAGGCAAAGAGGAACUGGCAUGUUGCAUGGUGAGAGAAAGGGAGCAAUAGGGAGAGUGGAGGGCAGUGCCAGGCUCUUUUAAGCAAUCAGAUCUUGUAGGAACUCAUAGAGCAAGAACUCCCUCAUUACCAUGAAGAGGGUACCAAGCCAUUCGGAAGGGAUUUGCCCCCCAGAACCCAAACCUCCCUCUAUGCCCCACCUCCAACAUUGGGGAUCAACAUCACAUAAGAUUUGGAGGGGACAAAUAUCCAAACUAUAUCACCAGGUUCUUGCAAAUCAGAAGACAGGGCUUUAAGGGUCAUGGGGCACAGAGUUUAUGCCAUGCAAAGAAAGGAAAGUAAUGAGAGAGGGAUGCCAUCUUGCCUGUCCUCUGUACUCCAGGGAGCAUACUCAGGAGUCUCCUGUACUGGAGGGGAGGGAGCUAGGGGGAGCUUCCUAUGAGGAGACCCCACCAUCUGGCACCAGCUGAGUGAGAACACCAUUUGCUGCCAGGCAUAGGAGCCACGUGGCAGUCCUUCUCUGUCCAUCAACCACAGCAGACACCGUCCCAUGCCCAGUGACUACUGAGCUCCAGUCACACCACACUGUACAGACUCCUCAACCCCCAGCAAGAGCCUAGGGCACGUUUAAUCCCCUCUACAGCAAAGGGGUCCUUGGCCCCCAGAGGGGCAGGGAUGGUGAAGGGAAGAGCCAGCAGAGGAACUUGGGUGGGGCUGGACUGUGGGGAAACCCUUCCUGGUUACAGGGGUAGGAGGUUCCUCACAGUGGGCAGAGUGCAUCUCUGUAGAUGAUGAUUAACUGACUUGAAGCAGCCUGAGGCCCUGGAAGAUGAAGAUGAGGGGAAAUGAGUUAUUUUCUCUCACUGGGCUCCAGGAUUCCAAAGCUCUCUCAAUUGAGUAGGCAGGUUCAUGCCCUGUCCAACCAAGCUCAGGGGGGACUAGUAAGGGGAGAAUGUCUGUCACCUGGAGAAGCCAGUUACAACAUGGCAAGUGACUAGCAUGACUCCUGGGCAGCAGCCUUGUAUGGCAAGAUCUGUGGGUUUGCAUUCCUGAGGAGUCCCAAGGAGCCUGAGAAGAUCCAGGGAAAAGCCAGCCUCCUGGAGUCUGUGGUGCAAGGACUGUGUCUUUUGGGCACCAAAAGGAAGGUUGACCUCUGAGUGUGGGGAAGUGAGGGACAUCUGGCUGACAAGAGAACUUGAUUGUGUCCAUUUUCUCACCUUGCUCUGAUCUGAAUGCAACAAUUUUUUUCAUGUUAUUUUUCUAGAGUUCAGUUAAAACAGUAGUUGCACAGGUGAGGAAGGGAGUGUGUGUGUGUGUGUGUGUGUGUGUGUAUAACCAGUGCUGAAGUAUUAAUUCACAUGUAUAUUUCUAAAACUAGUAGAGGCACAGUGGGGCCUCCCUAGGACCAAGAUCUGAGAAAAUAACUCCAGUCUAGGAAUGAGAACACAUGCUCCCACUUUCAGCUAAACCCCCACUUCUUUGCCUUUAAAAUGGAGAGCUUGGAUCGAAUGAUUGAAAAACAUUAUAAUCCUAGGAUGUGUAGUUUUCCUUAGAUCCUCACAAGUGUUUAAGUCAAACCAUUCCUAAUACUAGGUUUCUCUUCCUUAAGGUCAGUUGGCUAUAUGUGCGUGUGCAGUGUGUAUCUGUUGUACCCAUAGUAUAUAUGACAUACAUGUAAUGUACUGUGCAGUGUGUGAAUGUGUUGUGUGUAUACUAUGUGUCUGCAUGGUGUGUCAUACACUAUUUGUUCUUGCUGUCCCAAGCAACCCCUCAUAUUGCCCAAUCAAUGCUAGAUUUCUGGAUCCUUCAGAAAUCCUCUCUCUCAUACCCAGGCAAAUAAGCAAGAACACAUAUGUGAAGACUUUUGCACUCCAGUGACUCUUGAGCUGCAGCCAAAUAGCUGGAAUUACAUGCUUUGUAGAGAACCAGGGAUGUGGCAUGGCAAUGGGAAAUUCAGCAUGUAUUUGAAAGCCAGAUUCCUUUUUCCAGAACCCAAAAGAGCAAGAGAGGUAGAGGCUAGCCUGUCUGUUGCUGGCAGCCUGGGGUGUGUGUGUGUGUGUCUAGUGGGCACCAUUUAUUAAAAUCUCUGUUGUCUCUAACAUGCCCCCAUUCACAUGCACAUUUGCAUUUCAGACUCCAAUUUUCAAGCCAGCAUUUCUUUCCUCUGCAUCUCUUCCUCUGAUUCUGUUGCUCUUCAUUCGUCUCCUCAGCCCCUUUGCUUUCUCAUUUUCCUUGGAAUAGUGAGUCAAGCUCCUUCUGAACAGUAGUUUAGGGUUCUUAAUCCACUGCAUGGACGAGGCCCCCAGAUUAAAGCAGGGGAGAUUAGAAUGCUGUGCAGUUGCUGGAAUGCUGGGCCUCAAAGUCUUUUGACUACUUUCACCUUCCUGGUUAUGGGAGGAGGGCUUCCCCUUGAUUCUGGGGAAAUACAGAGAUGCCAGUGUCCAGCUUGCCAUUCCACAUCUGUUCCAGUCAUGUUCUGUCCAAGUCCAAACUAAGUAGUUUAAAGUGAUAAUCAUUUAUUUGUUCAUGAAUCUGCAAUUUGGUCAGGGCUAAAAGGGAUAGCUCAUCCCUUCUUCCACGUGGAACUUACUGGGGUGGCUUAAAGGCUGGAGUGGCUUGAAGGUGACUCAAUAGCUGGUGCUGGAGUCAUCUGAAGUUCAUUCACUCACACAUCUGGUGUUUGAUGCUGGCUGUUGGCUGGGACCUUAAUGGGGACUGUCAGCUGGAGCACCUACAUGUGGCUUUUCUAUGUUCUGGACUGGUGUUCUCACAGCAGGGUGGCAGGGUUCCAAGAGUGAGUGUUUCAAGAGACAAAAUGGAAGUGCAUAUUAUUUUUAUGACUUAGUCUCAGAAGUCAUUUAGUGUCACUUCUGCUUUUCUAUUGGCCAAGGCAGUUACAAAGUUCUGUCCAAGUCUAAGAGGGGGUAACACAGACCCACCACUCAAUGCGAGGAGGGUUCAGUGUCACAUAGGAGGAACAGCAUGUAUCGUGUGUGUCUCUGUGUGUGUAGUGUGCAAUGCACUAUCUUGUACCAAUGUAGUAUACAUGUAUGGAGUAUGGUGAACACACACUACAUUGAAAAUUCAGUCUGCCACAUCUCUUUCCAUAUUCACUGUUCCUUUCUCUACCUCUUAUAGUCCUGCUGGUUUAAAUUUAUUGACAGAGAUGGGAUUCGCAGUAAGGACUGUCAUCCCAUGGGUGCCAAAGCUUACACUUGGCUUGAAUCACAUGGUAGGCAGGAUGGCCCCAAGAUUCCUACCUGGUAUAGACACCCUGUGUAAUCCCCUCCUCUUGAAUGUCAGGGACCUGUGAGUAUGAUGGAAUUUUACUGGAGUGAUUAGGUUACAUGAUCUGGCACAGGUGUGGGAAUUUUGCUGAUGUAAUUAAUGUCUCUCCUGUUACUUUGGGUCAAACAAAAGGGAGAUUACCCUGGGCAGGCUUGACAUAAUCAGGCAAGUCCUUUAAAGGAGGGUUCAGGCCUUCCCCAAAGAGAAGAUUCUCCUGCUGACUUUGAGGGAGUGAGCUGCUGUGUAGUAAGAGGGCCCCACAGCUAAGAUAUGAGGGUAGCCUCAAGUUGCUGAGAGCAACCCCUGGCCAACAGCCAGCAAGAAAUUAAGGAGCACCAUCCUACAACUGUAAGGAAAUAAAUUCUGUCAACAACCUGAAUGGACUUGGAGAACUCCAGGUGAGAAUACACCUGGCUGACGUCUAGAUUUCAACUGUGUGAAACCCUGAGCAGAGAACCCAGCUACUCCGUGUCUAGGUUCCUGACCCCCAGAAGCUAUGAGAUAAUGAAUGUGUGUGUUUUGAGCUACCAAGUUUGUGGUAAUGUGUUACAUAGCAAAAGAAAACUACCAUAAGUCAAAACCAUGAGCUCCAUUGGCAAGCAAGCUUUAUUGGAUGGGUAAUUGGAGAAACACAUGGCAGAUCCAGUAGCAAGACUACACACAUGCUGAAGGACCCAGCUCAAAUGUCACCCCACUGCCAUCUUCAUGGAUUCCCUUCUGCUAGAAGUAAUCUCUUGCAUCUGAAAUCCUAUAGCGUUGUUUGUCCCUGUUUUGUGAUACUUCUCGUAUUCUACUUAUAUUUAUCAGCGUUCACGUCUUGUCUGAUUGUAAGGUCCUCCCAGUGGAAACAGUGUCCCAUUUAUUUUUGUGGUGCCAAGGUACUUUGCAUAAUUCUUUGCAUAUCAACAAGAUGUAUUGAUAAUUUAUUAAAUGUUUUUUUGAACGACAGGACUUCAACUUUUAUUUAUUGAGGAAGUUUGAGAACACAUUUUGCUAUGAUGAUAAUCAAGAGAUGGUCAUCACUAUUGUUUUAAAGGUGUUAGUUGAAAACAUCAAAACCAGCCAAACAUUCUGUCCUCAUUUGCAGUCAGUGAGAAUGUUUCUGUCAUUUGAGAUUCUGAAAUUAAGCCUACAAAUGUUCAUCCAAUAGAUUCUGGUUCCCAGGCACUGAAACUCUCUGCCAAGGGAGAAUCACAGAUCUGUCUGAGUAAUCUUUAUUUUUAUCCUGAAAAUGGAGAAAAGAAUUUCCUGCACCAAUAGGGACAAGCUGCUAUUUAGCUAUUACCUCUAGAAUUAGGGACACUGUGCUAAUGGGAGGUAGGAAUAACAUUUCUUCUUGGAGCACUAAAUACAAGUCUAUUUAGAGAAAUGAGUAGCCUUUAGCUCCUCUUUUGAAUUCCAUUUUGAGACAUUGAGCAUAGAGGAAGCAGAAAGGUCAGAGAAUAGAAAAUAGCCAUGCUUUUAGGAUGGCAAAUCUUUUGUAUCAAAAGAAUCCUGGUUGCUUUGGGCCUAGGAGGCAAGCCCUUGGGAGGCUCUUUCAGAGGCCCCUGGCACCUUGCCUUAGGGAACCCCAUGUGGAGUUGUGCCUGAGGAACUGCACCCCACAGGAAACUGUUUUUGGCAAGUUUGAGUAUUAAUAACAAGAAGCAUUACCAUUAACAAUCAUCCUUGUAGCUCUUCUAAAACUAUAACUGUAGUGCCACGAAGGAUUCUUUUUGGCCAAUUAUUAGUCAUGUCCGUGUUUAUGUGCUUUAGGGGAGUGCCAGCUGAUUACUCUGGGCUCAAGAACACCUUUUGAGGACUUAUGGAUCUGGGCCUCAUAAAAACAGAGAAGGUAUGACAUAGCUCCACCUACAUGCAAGGGGAGCCAGGAAGUGCAAUCCCUGGCUGGGCUGCCACGUCUCAGAAACCAUUAAGCCUAUGGAAGGUCUCUGGAUUUGAUGGCAAAUGGCAGCAGAAAUGUGGAAAAGAUCAAAGUGAUGUCAAGGUUGAUCUCUGAGUUUGGCAUGGCUGAACUCAAACAUCAUUUGCCAUGGACCCACAGUGUCUUCAGUAGCUGAGUGUGGUGUCAUUCCCCUAUGAUAUGUGCACUCAAUUGCUGGCCAGUUUUUGUUUUUUGUUUUUGAGAGAGUCUCGCUUUGUCUCCUAGGCUGGAGUGCAGUGGCACGAUCUCGGCUCACUGCAACCUCCGCCUCCCGGGUUCAAGUGAUUUUCCUGCCUCAGCCUCCCGAGUAGCUGAGAUUACAGGCAUGUGCCAGCAGGCCCGGCUAAUUUUUUUUGUAAUUUUAGUAGAGACGGGGUUUUGCCAUGUUGGCCAGGCUGGUCUCGAGCUCCUGGCCUCAAGUGAUCCACCUGCCUCCACCUCCCAAAGUGCUGGGAUUACAGGUGUGAGCCACUGUACCUGGCCCCAAAGUUUUAGAAAUUGGAUCAUUUUAAAUGUUGGAGGGGAGUUCAUUGUUUAGGAUGGCUGUGUGGCAAAUCUUUUUUUAAAGUAAGUAAUUCUCCUCUAUUAUAAGUCACCUCCUGAUCUCUACAUUUAAGGUUUGCUGUCCUGGAUGUGUUCACCUAUGAAUGUAAGUGUGCUGAGAUACACAGUGCAAGGCUGAAGUCAGAGUACACCACUGAUGAACCCCUGGGAACUGGUAACCCAGCCAGGGAAUGAACAUCUUUUAUGAAUCAGUUUAUCCACCAAACACUUGCAGAGAGCCUAUCCCAUGCCACCCCUGAGGGCACGGUGAUGGAGAAGAUAUGCUUCCUGCCUCCAAGAACCCCAUAGUCUAGUGGCAGAGACAAGCAGGUACAUAGCUGCCUAUAGUACAGCAUCACAGGUGCCAUAACAUUGUGUAAACUGGGAAUAAUUCUAUUCUCUGGAUAUAGAACAUCUAACCAAGAUAUUGAGUAUCUGGCUUCCCCUUCCCCACACUGGCCCUCACUGGGAUCCAUGUCUAAUAUUAUGAAAGUCACACAAUAUCAUUAUAAACUAAUCAUAAAUGGCACUGUCAGUUUGCUACAAAAACUUAUUCAGAAAAUAUUCAGAUUCUCCCAUCAACAUAUGCCGCUAUGUUGGCAAAAGCUCUGAUUUAAAAUACUUAUUUCGUUUUCCUCUCCGAUUUUGUUCUAGUCUUCAAAAUGAUUUCAUACAACAUAGCACUGAGUUCCUUAGUUCCUCUGACCCCUGCCAGAUCUGAAGCUGUGAUGUUCAAAAGUCAGGGCAGAGUCCAUCUUAUGAUUGAGUUUCAUAAGAGUCUAAGCCACUGAUCAACAUACUGUGGCAGAGUAAGCUUUCUGGGUUCCAGAAUUUAUUGUGAGUGGGCUGAGGGAGUUGAGAAAUGGCAUGGGAGGCCUAAAGAGAAAAUAACUUUUGAAUGAAAAUUAUAGGAAAGUGGAUUUGAGAUCAAAACAAAGGAAGGUUGAUCAUAGUUGGAAUCAUUUAAGAUUGGUGGGGGUAGUGGGCUUCUGGUUCUUAACCCAGGCCAGGCAGAGGUGUGACAACAGUCAGGGGUUUCUAAACAGGGUGGGAGGUUAGAUGAGAAUAGCCUUCAACCCUUUGUGUUGAACUAAAAUCCUAGCUCUGCUUUCAACUCCUAGACUCUGCUUCAUCAUUGCUAAGUUGGAAAGAGCAAGCAAUUGAGAGUCCCUGCUGGCCACAGCUGGGGUGCCCCAGACCACAGCACUGAGCCUCAAAGGCAAGUGAGCAUAGUGUUGGGAGCUGGGCUUCUGGAUCCAUCAACUCCAUCUGAUGACUCGGAAGUUCCUUCAGUUCCCAACACUGGAGUCCAGCAAGGCUGGUUUGUCUUGUUUUAAUUAUUAUUUAGAUGACUGUUUGGCUCAUACCUGAGCAAGGUUCAAAUCAAGUCAGACCUGUUAAUUUAAUCAAAGUUAUAUAAUCACAUUUGGGCACUUAAAUGUAAACCAAUUAUGUUGGAAGCCAAGUAUCUUGUACUCAGGAGGGAGUUCUAAUAAGUGCUGGGAAUGUAUGCUAAUGCACAAAGCCUAACCCCCAGAGUGGAGGGUGGAGCACUCCAGGGCACUCCUGUUUCGGUGACGUUGUUUUAAUAGCUAGUGCUCUGGGUGCAGUCUGGGAAGAUAUUGGAAACAUCUCAAGCAAGUAUGACAUCCAUUUUACCCAAGCCCAUGGAACCCAUUAUGUUUGGAACAUGUCUGUCUGUGGCAUUUGGCUUGGCUUAUAAAUGCACUAUCAGAAUCUAUAGGAGGCCUUCGCAACAAGACGUGUCUUGGCCUUUCUGGUUAUCAGCAAUCCCUCCACCUCUCUCUUAACAAACAUAUGCCAUAAGUCCUGAUCAGGCAUUUAGUUUUUUCACUUGGACCUUUUCCUAGUUCCUAGUCUCAACCCCAAUGCCUCCUAAUCUUGUACUUCUUCAAAUACUGGCCCCCCUCUACUAUGAGAGAGAGAGGAAAGUAGGGAGGAGAAGGAGGAAAAGUUAUUGAGUUGAUAUGAGGGUAGUCAACCUAAAGCAACAAUCAGGAGUAAGGUACUGGACUUGAGUUUGAAGUGUUUGUCACUAAACUCUCUCAAACUCUUCCAGGCUAACUAGCCUCAGAGGGCUUCUAGCCCAUAGUCUCCUUGUAUUUUCUGCCCUCCUCACUUGGAGUGGGAGGGAACCAGAUGUCCAGUCUUUGUCCCGUGUUAAGAACUGGCCUGGCAGGCUUUGUUGAGACCAUCCAGACUUGAAAGCCUCACAACCAGAUGCCAUCACAGGCACUUUCUGCUCUUAACCUUUGUCUGUGUCUCCUACAUGAACUCAUCAGACUGCCUCUGAAGAGGGACAUUCUAGGGACAGUUUCAUCUUCAUCACCAUCCUGGAUAGGGAACCCUUCCAGACUCAGAGUUGCAAAAGUCAGGGAGGGGCUGCUCACUGGAGGUGGAGUCCUUUGGCCAGGUUUCACUGUAAACACAUGGCUAAAAUGUGUCGCACAUGGACAGGCAUGCUAGUGUGCUCUGGAUACAUGCUAGUGUGCCCCAGAUAUAUGCUAGUGUGCCCCGUAUAGCUUCUGGCUAAAGGACACACCUCAGCAAGGCCAAAUGAGGCAUCAGGAUGAACUCUUCAAAUAGACUUCAUUAGACCCACAGAAGACUAACCUUUGCCUGACUUUGGAUUACCCCUUUCUUGCCAGGAAUUAUGUUCAAUGACUAUAUCUGGAACUAGAGGUCUUGAUAGCCACACUUUGCUUGGUGUGGCUUCUCAGUCUUUUAAGGACAUGGCUAUCAAGGGCUCAUGUUUAUUCCAGGUCAGCCCUUUACCCCUUUCCUCCAGGGGCAUCUAUGGCAACAAAAGACCAUGACAUCUGGCAGGGCUGGCAGGACUAUUUAGUUUAGGCAGGAAUGUGGGUGUUAGCAUGUCAGAGUACAUCUGAGAAAACAUUCCAAACCAACCUUUCCACACUGGGAACUCAACCCCCAGGAAUCACCAAAGAUAAGGGCAACAGUCUUAUCUCUCGAGGGAAGUUCAGGGUAAAGUCCACUCCUGCUGUGGACCAGAGCUCAGGGAAGAAGAAAGCUCAGGCUGGCUCUGCCUGUCCACUUGAUGAACUUCCACAAAUGCCACUCUGGGAGCUGAGGCAUAUGAAGUGGGGAAGAAAAUACCAGCCCUGCCCUGGAGCUCUGGGAUGGUGGCUGUACACCCCUAAAGAUGCCAGCAGAUCUGAACUGUGGCCUAUGUGUGUUUGGGAAUUGAGAAAUAAGGAGAUAGAGGGACAGCAGGCAGGAAAAACUACAAUUAGUCUCAGCUCACACAGAUUUGGGAGUAUGCAGAUCUGAAUUGUGGCCUCCAUGUGUUUGGCUGAAGGAUAAUGAUCUCAGGCCCAGACUUUUUUUUUUUUUUGUAUCACUCGCUCAGGGGGCUCUGACCAGGAGCUUCUUUCAGAUGACACAGAUCCCGAGGAGCCACUUGCCUUCUACCCAUGACACUUCUAAGAGUGACUCUUGCCAUGUGACCAUAGAGAUAAGUGAAGUUUUCUCCAAUGACAUCAUUAAGAAGUCUAAACUUCCCCAAAGGGAGAGGCUGUGACUAGGAACACAAAUGUCUCAGUGUAUCACACUCAUGCUCCCAGAUCUGUGGGCAGAAAAAGAAAUCAUAGAAUGGUGCAUAUCCUAAAAAUAAAAAGGAAAUUGCUUUUCAAGUUAUGAAAUUUGGCCCUUCUCAUUGUGAGUUUAAAGUACAUGUUACUGCUUCAGUUUCUAAAACAGGAGGUGGCCAAAUUCAGAGUUUAAAAUGUCUAAGUGGUUAUUUGAAAACAGAUAUUUAGAGGCAACUGAGAGAAGAAUACUGGGGCCAUGGGUCUGCAGUCACUUUCCCAGCAGUGCUCUGAGGCCUUGGGUCUCAUAAAAGGUAAUCAUAGUUACGCCUUUUAAAGAAAGCUGAGUCUAACUGUAGCUUUUCCUGCCUGUUGUCCCUCUAUCUCCUUACUUCCCAAUUCUAUCUAUCUUUCAAAACCCAGCUCAAAUCCCACCUCCUUCCAUAAGUCUUCCAUUGUUUAAUAUAGUUGGAAUUUACCUCUCCCUCCUCUAACUCCCAUGGCAUUUUAUUUACACCUCUCUGAUGGCCACUUUCUACUUUCUAUAAGGUAAGUUAUAUACUUGUUUUAUAUCAAUAAAUUUCAAAAUAUUGAAAUCUUA